rnacentral:lncRNA from 1 species
CCCUACCUUCUAUCAAUAAGUAGUGAUGGUGGAGAAGGGAGCCACCCUCCUCCGUCGUCUCUGUCUGUCAAUCCCCAAUCGAGUUUCAUCGCCGUGGGGGAUGGAAAGAAGACGGAACCUUAUUGUUUUCAGGGCCAGGAUUGGUUGGCCGCAGCCUCCAUGCCUUUUCUUCUUCUUCGUCUUGAUCCUCGUCGGCUUGGCCUGGCCAUUCGGGACCCUGCUUGUUCGAGCUCAAGAAGGUAAGCUAACUUAGUGAGUUAUAAAGCUCAAUUCUCCGUGCUCUCCGCAAACCUCCCAGAUUUCGAACAUAUAGCCCUCUAGUCCCCUCGAAUAGAUUUCCUCUCCCCCAAGAAGGUAGGCUCGGAUAUCACGAGUGGGGUCUGCGGGGUCAACGCCUCCCCUAUUCCUCAUUUUUGGUUCCUCUCUCCCCCAAAACAAAGCUCCUAUCACGAGUUCACCAAUAACCCAAUGUACGUUUCAUAAGCGUGGACUGCGGCUUAGCGGGUGGUUCGAGCUAUCAAGACGAGUCCACUGGACUAGAGUACUCUCCUGACUCGCAGUUCAUCACCACGGGAGAGAACAAGAUCGUUGCUGAGAACCCAUCU